GGGCCACACCCACAGAAAAUGGAAGUUCCCAGGCUAGGGUCUAAUCAGAGCUACCACUGCCAGCUUACGCCACAGCCACAGCAAUACGGGAUCCAAGCCACAUCAGUGACCUACACCACCACUCACGGCAACGCCAGAUCCUUAACCCACUGAGCAAGGCCAGGGAUCAAACCCGCAACCUCAUGGUUCCUAGUUAGAUUCUUUUCCACUGAGCUACGAGGGGAACUCCUUUUUCCUUCUUUUUAUUUUGAGAUAUAACAAGCAGGCUUUAAGGCAAAAGAUAUUACUGAAGAUAAAGAGGGAUACCAAGGACGAUAAAAGUAACAUUUUAAUGAAUGUAUAAUAAACCUAAUUUUUAUACGCUAUAGAAAUCCUUUAUUAGACAAAUGUUUUAUAUAUAUUUUCUCCCAACUAUUAGCUAGUCUGAAGGUUUUUCUAAUAACAGCUUUAUUGAAUUCUAAUUCACACACCAUCCUACAUACCUAUUUAACGUGUACAAUUUGGAGUUCCUGUUGUGGCUCAGUGGUAACAAACCUGACUAGUAUCCACAAGGAUGCAGGUUCAAUCCCUGGCCUCGCACAGUGUGUUAGGGUUCCAGCAUUGCUGUGAGCUGUGUUGCAGGUUACAGACACAGCUCAGAUCCUGAGUUGCUGUGGUGUGGUGUAGGCUGGCAGCUGUAGCUCCAAUUCAGUCCCUAGCCUGGGAACUUCCAUGCGCCGCAGGUGCAGCUAAAUAAAUAAAUAAAUAAAAUAUACAAUUCAAAGCUUUUUAAUGCAUUCACAGAUUUGUGCAGUCAUCACCACAAUCAAUUUCAGAAUAUUUUCAUCACCCCUUAAAAAGCCUUGUACCCAUUACCCUGCUCCAAUCUCUAGUCCCAGGUAUCCACUGAUCUAUUUUCCAUGUACAGAUUUGUCUCUUCUGGACAUUUCACAAAAAUGGAAGCAUAUAAUAUGUGGUGCUUUGUGAUCUGGCUAAGUUUUGUCCAAUUACAGCAUCUGGCUCAAAGUCCAGUUUUUGUGCUCAGUACCAGAUCUGGUACAACUCCUUUGGUGUGACUGCUCGAGACAUGAACUAAAAUCACCUGCCACACAGACACCCAACAUGCAAUGGUGAGAAAGAAAGGCUAACUACAACAGAGUCUUGUUAUAUAGAAGAAUGGGAGACACAUGCCAGUUACUUGUUGGCAGCAGUCUUGGAAUUCUGCUGGGCAGUGUUGCCAGGACCUUCCACUCCCAUGGGAGAGAAUGUUCCUUGAUUAGGACCCAGUUUGUCUCCUGGGGAGUGGCUCCUAGUCUAUCAUUCUGCACCACCCUUGGUUAUACAGACUUGGAUCCUGGUCAGAGCCCCCCAUGGGAAAAGUGCUGAGUGUGGGUCCCCUGUGCUUCUGGUCCAGCCCCCUUCACCCUCUCAUUUGCCUGGUGCUCCCCCAAAGCCCAUCUUAUUUAAGAUUCUUAUUAAGCAAGCUCUUGUGGGACAUUCAUGCUAUCAGAAAAGUAAGCAAACUAAAUUACUUAACCUUUACAAUGUUUAUUAUUUAAAAUAGGAUACUAGUCUGGUUCAUUACUGUGGCUCAGCAGUAACAAACCAGACUAGUAUCAGUGAGGAUUUAGGUUUGAUCCCUAGGCUCGCUCAGUGGGUUAAGGAUCCAGCUAGUUUGCCCCAAGCUGUGGUACAGCUCUCAGACUCGGUUCAGAUCCCGUGUUGCUGUGGCUGUGGUGUAGGCUGGCAGCUGCCCCGCUCUGAGCUAACCCCUAGAGUGGGUAUAUGCUACACAUGAGGCCCUAAAAACCAAAAUAAAAUAAAAUAAAAUAAAAUAAAAUAGGACUCACACACACUUUCAAAACGCCAGAAAAAGGAGCUCCCUUGUGGUGUAGCAGAUUAAGGAUCUGGCUGUGUCACUGAAGAAGUUUGGGUCACUGCUGUGGCACAGAUUCAAUCCCCAGCCCAGGAACUUCCACAUGCUGCAGGCAUGGGGAAAAAAAAAAAAAAAAAGCCACCAGAAAAGUAGGAGAGUAGCUACAAUCCUGGCUAUACAGUAAGCCACAUAACUCAGAAGUCCUAGAAGGAGUUCCCGUCAUGGCGUAGUGGUUAACGAAUCCGACUAGGAACCAUGAGGUUGCGGGUUCGGUCCCUGGCCUUGCUCAGUGGGUUGAGGAUCUGGCGUUGCUGUGAGCUGUGGUGUAGGUUGCAGACGUGGCUCGGAUCCCGCGUUGCUGUGGCUCUGGCAUAGGCCGGUGGCUACAGCUCAGAUUCAACCCCUAGCCUGGGAACCUCCAUAUGCCGCGGGAGUGGCCCAAAGAAAUAGCAAAAAGACCAAAAAAAAAAAAAAAAGAAGAACACUCUCACGCAUUCGACAAUAUUCAUUUGGUGUUAAAAAAAAAAAAAGUUGUUUUUCCUGGGAGUUCCCUGGUGGCCUAUCGGUUAAGGAUUUGGCAUCAUCACUGCUGUGGCUGGGGUUUGAUCCCUGGCCCAGGAACUUUUGCAUGCUGUGGGUACAACCAAAAAAAUAAAAUAAAAAAUGGAAAGUUUCUCAUACAGCAUCUCUUCAUUUGGCUCUCCUGCUUUGUAUUCUACCAUGAAGCAGCAACAAAUUCCAGCUUCCAGUGACAGCUUCCCCAACUAAAAUUAUAAACACUAAAUUCAACAAGCAAGAUUCAAGGGAUGCAAUGAGAAGGUAAUUUUAUUUGUGAUCAUUGUGUCCUCUUAAAUUUUUUCCAGAAAUGACCCUUAAAUAUAUGAAAAGAUGCAUACCUCCUCUAGUAAGAAAGAUGUGAAUUAAAAUUAUGAUGAGACUCCAUUUCUCACCUACCAAAAAUUGGCAAAAUUCCAAAAGUUUACACUGCAUUGUUAUUGAAGCUUUGGGAAAAGAGAUUCUCUCAUAUACUGUCUCAUACAUUGUAGGAUUUAUAAGGAUACAACUUCUAUGAAGGCUAUUUUAGCAAUAUUUACCAAAAUUGCAAAUCCAUUUACCCCUGACUCAGAAAUUCCACGUUGAGAAAUGAGUCC
rnacentral:lncRNA from 1 species